rnacentral:rRNA from 1 species
UACGGAGGGUGCAAGCGUUAAUCGGAAUUACUGGGCGUAAAGCGCGCGUAGGCGGUUUGAUAAGUUAGAUGUGAAAUCCCAGGGCUCAACCUUGGAACUGCAUUUGAUACUGUCAGACUAGAGUAUGUUAGAGGAAAGUGGAAUUCCGGGUGUAGCGGUGAAAUGCGUAGAUAUCCGGAGGAACAUCAGUGGCGAAGGCGACUUUCUGGAACAAUACUGACGCUGAGGUGCGAAAGCGUGGGGAGCAAACAGG